AUAUCACCCCUCCCCUAGUCAAAUAUCACCCCUCCCCUAGUCAAAUAUCCCCCCUCCCCUAGUCAAAUAUCCCCCCUCCCCUAGUCAAAUAUCACCCCGUCCCCUAUCAAAUAUCACCCCUCCCCUAGUCAAAUAUCACCCCACCCCUAGUCAAAUAUCACCCCUCCCCUAGUCAAAUAUCCCCCCUCCCCUAGUGAAAUAUCACCCCUCCCCUAGUCAAAUAUCCCCCUCCCCUAGUCAAAUAUCCCCCCUCCCCUAGUCAAAUAUCACCCCUCCCCUAGUCAAAUAUCACCCCACCCCUAGUCAAAUAUCACCCCUCCCCUAGUCAAAUAUCCCCCCUCCCCUAGUGAAAUAUCACCCCUCCCCUAGUCAAAUAAUCCCCCUCCCCUAGUCAAAUAUCACCCCUCCCCUAGUCAAAUAUCACCCCUCCCCUAGUCAAAUAUCACCCCUCCCCUCGUCAAAUAUCACCCCUCCCCUAUCAAAUAUCCCCCCUCCCCUAGUCAAAUAUCCCCCCUCCCCUAGUCAAAUAUCACCCCGUCCCCUAGUCAAAUAUCACCCCACCCCUAGUCAAAUAUCACCCCUCCCCUAGUCAAAUAUCACCCCUCCCCUAGUCAAAUAUCACCCCUCCCCUAGUCAAAUAUCCCCCCUCCCCUAGUCAAAUAUCCCCCCUCCCCUAGUCAAAUAUCACCCCUCCCCUAGUCAAAUAUCAACCUCCCCUAGUCAAAUAUCACCCCUCCCCUAGUCAAAU
rnacentral:lncRNA from 1 species